UAGCCGUUAGAUUAAUGGUAGAUCAUGGAUUUUACACGUCUAAGAUAAUGGUUCAAUUCCAUUACGGCUAA
rnacentral:tRNA from 3 species